UAUGGUCAUUCCAGUUAUAGUGACAUUAAUAUCCAUUUUAUUGGUACUGGCACCAGUCAUCACCACAGCUGAACUGGCCUAUUUGUACUGUGUUUUAUUUAUACUAAGUGGACUUAUAUUUUAUGUACUUUUCGUUCAUUACAAGUUCAAGUGGUCUCAAAAAAUAUCAGAGCCAAUCACUAUGCACCUUCAGAUGCUUUUGGAAGUUGUUCCACCAGAGGAAGUUGCUGAAUAAAAUAUUUUGUGUGAGAUGACGUGUUUUUAAGUGCUACAUCAGUUGAAGGAGAUUCCAUUCAGUUUGGGGCACACUUAAACUUUCUGAAUUGCUAUGUUCAUACUAGUGGGCAGCAUUUUUGCAACGCUACGUAGUAUGUGAAGUAGAUUAAAUUUAAGAAUAAAAAGAUUUCUAAGCCAAA